CAAUAGCGUAUAUUAAAGUUGUUGCAGUUAAAAAGCUCGUAGUUGGACCUUGGACCUGGACAGGCGGUCCGCCUCACGGCGUGUACUGUCUUGCUGGGUCUUUCCUCUUGGUGAUCUGUUGUUUCGGCAGCAGGGAACCAGGACUUUUACUUUGAAAAAAUUAGAGUGUUCAAAGCAGGCUCGACGCCGGAAUAUAUUAGCAUGGAAUAAUAAAAUAGGACGUGCGGUCCUAUUUUGUUGGUUUUUGGAAUCGCCGUAAUGAUUAAUAGGGACAGUCGGGGGCAUUAGUACUCACAUGCUAGAGGUGAAAUUCUUGGAUUUUGUGAAGACUAACUUCUGCGAAAGCAUUUGCCAAGGAUGUUUUCAUUAA
rnacentral:rRNA from 1 species